CAGCAGCCACGGGAAUACGUAGGGUGCGAGCGUUGUCCGGAAUUACUGGGCGUAAAGGGCUCGUAGGUGGUUUGUCGCGUCGUCUGUGAAAUUCUGGGGCUUAACUCCGGGCGUGCAGGCGAUACGGGCAUAACUUGAGUGCUGUAGGGGUAACUGGAAUUCCUGGUGUAGCGGUGAAAUGCGCAGAUAUCAGGAGGAACACCGAUGGCGAAGGCAGGUUACUGGGCAGUUACUGACGCUGAGGAGCGAAAGCAUGGGUAGCGAACAGGAUUAGAUACCCCUGUAGUCCCUGUCUCUUAUA
rnacentral:rRNA from 1 species